GACGAACGCUGGCGGCGUGCUUAACACAUGCAAGUCGAACGGAAAGGCCCUGCUUUUGUGGGGUGCUCGAGUGGCGAACGGGUGAGUAACACGUGAGUAACCUGCCCUUGACUUUGGGAUAACUUCAGGAAACUGGGGCUAAUACCGGAUAGGAGCUCCUGCUGCAUGGUGGGGGUUGGAAAGUUUCGGCGGUUGGGGAUGGACUCGCGGCUUAUCAGCUUGUUGGUGGGGUAGUGGCUUACCAAGGCUUUGACGGGUAGCCGGCCUGAGAGGGUGACCGGCCAAAUUGGGACUGAGAUACGGCCCAGACUCCUCGGGGAGGCAGCAGGGGGGAAUAUGGCACAAGGGGCGGAAGCCUGAUGCAGCAACGCCGCGUGCGGGAUGACGGCCUUCGGGUUGUAAACCGCUUUCGCCUGGGACGAAGGGUGAGUGACGGUAAUGGGUAAAGAAGCACCGGCUAACUACGU
rnacentral:rRNA from 1 species